GGGCUUAAUCAGUGUCUGAACAAUAUAACACUGCAGUUAUAGGCGGCCUAGUAUACUUUUCACUGAACAAAUGACUGGACAAUAGAUUCAGCAUCAUUAAUCCUCUUAUGCUACCUGAUUGCGGAGGUUGCGGCGGAGUCCCUGGAAAGCUCGUGGAUGUUGACGUCACUCAGAACAUCUUUCGCGUUGUCCUUGUUGAACUGUACCACCGCCACAGGAAGACAGAAGACAUAUAGAACACAGCAAUGACGGAAUUUACCUGUAAAUGGGUUUCUCCCAGUUUGGAGUGGACUCCACACCUGUCUUCCAAUGCUGGAGUCUACGAAGAACUGGUGAUGUCUUGGAGGAUCCUGUCUCAUUCUUCAGUCAGUGUAACACCAAGCUCUCUGAUGUCACGUGGAAGAUUACAACGUUGACGAACACAACGUCUUCCAAGGUUCCAAAAGUGUUCUAUGGGAUUAAGGUCUGGACUUCUUGCUGGCCUGUCCACAGCCUCUAUAAUCUCCUGCUCAAGAUAAUCCAUGACAAUCCUGGCAGCAUGACAACUGACAUUAUUUUGCAUCAGAACAAAUGCAAGACCAAUUGCACCAGCAAAUUGUCUUCCUACACAGGGUCCACGUACCAUCGAGCUGUAAAUCCACACCUUUGAUGCAUUUCAAAGCCCCCUUGAAAACGGUCAUACUCAACGGUAUUGAAUUGUGUAAAUUGUUCUCCACGGGCUCUCCAUAAUCAAACACAUUAAUCAGUAGUGGGCAGAUUAAAUCUUGAUUUAUCAGUGAACAAAACAGGUGCCCAAUGACAGAGCUGACGGUUGUGGUUAUCAAUGUAAUAAUCAGCAAUCUCUUUGUAUUGUGGGUUCAAUUGAGGAGCUGUAGCUGUUCUUCUUCACCUCAAACCAGACUCAUGCAAUGUGUUUCUCACAGUUUGGGUGCUUAUGGUGACCAGCUGCUGUACUGAAGUGGAUAUUAAGGCCAUGUGCAAUGGAAUGGCGUUUCCUCGGUGCCAUUGUGUGGGGUGUGCUUGACCUCCCACCACCUUAUCCAUGAUGUCUAGUGUACAGACCUGUGGUUUGAUAACGUGUCCACAGUCUGGAAACAACAGAAUGAUUUAACAUCGAAUUGACCAGCUAAUGUCUUUAGGUAUCCCCAGAUUCAAACAUCUGAAUAGCUCUAGCAGUCUGGACUGCAGUAAAAAAAAGGUCUUCGUUUGUAACUACCUAGCAUCAUUAGAAGCCAAGAUUCCCAAACCAACAACAACAAAUUAUGUUAUCAAGUUAACAGCCACUUGACUAAUGAUCAAAUCUGAAGUUUAAAUGGGGGUACCUGAUUUUAAUUCAGGCAGCUGGUGCAAAAUGCAUCUCAAUAGCUGUCACAAUUUAUUGAAGAACACGUAAAAGCUCUACCUGGUGAAUGCCUGUACAAUGUUUUUAAAUUGUUGCCAUAUUUAAUGUUUGCUCCUUUAAUUUUUGUAGUAGUGUACAUUGAAGUAUUUAAGAAUAAUGUUAUAUUUUCAUUGUCUUAUUUAUUGUAAGUUGAUAUAAAUUGACAUUGACUGACAAGUGUAAUUGUAUCACCAUCUCGUAGCGGGGUGACUCUAGGCUUGUGUAGGAAGAAGUUUCGUAAAACAGUUGUGUCUGAUGUCUUUUUCUCUAAAGAUGUGUUAUAAACUUUAUCAUCUUUACAGUAGCUUCAAAGUAGAUACAUGUUAGAAAAACUAUAGCAGAAUACUACUGCCCCUGCUCUCCCAACCAUUUAUCGUCUGGUUUGGUAGUGCAAGAUUAGUGCCAGCUCUUAUUUUUUUUAAUGCAUUACAGGUUUAGAUUGUAAUGAAACACUCUAGUAGAGCUAAGUUCUACACACGGAGCAAUCAAGUUGUUCUGUAGUGUAGGAGACUGUCAGUAAGGCUAACUUGUACAUGAGAUUCCUCUGAAUGCUUACAUUGCCAUCUUGUGUUGACUAGCUGUAAUUACU